UAGAGAUGACAAUUUUGCCUUGUAAUAUAAUACGACCCGAUUUCUAAACCAACGGGUAAACAAGUUGGACUUAAGUCUAAAAAAAGGUAAAAGGCCUUGAAGAGAAGGUGUUCGAAUAUGACUUUAGGUGCUCGAACAGUUCACAAGAUGUUCGGAUAUGGUAUUAGAUGUUAGGAUAGUACCCAAAGUGUUUGGUAAUGAUUGUUCGGACAAAUUACUUCAACUAGGAAAAAGAGUGAUCAGAUAUGAAUUAGGUACAUGUGAAAAGUAGGUCCUAAAUUAUCGUCGGGAAUAUAGGACAUAUUAUGUGACAUCUCCGCAAAGAAUAGAAGUAAAUGAGUUAGUAUGAGCUAGUAAAAUCUCAAUUAAAUCGGAAAAAGAUUUGUUCUCUUCUUUAUAAAUUAGGUCUAUGUCAAUGUUCAAGGUAUGCAAUUUCUACUCUUUUCUAAUUGGCGUUUGCUCUUUGGGCAUUUACUGACUUGAGCGUCGGAGUGGCCUAGUUCAAGCCACCAUUCUCUUAUUUUUUCUUGAUUACAGGCAGCAUUCCGAUCAACCAUCAAUCUGAGAAUUCCAAGCAACAUCACCUUGCCCCAACAGAAAAUUUAUUUUUUUACCCCAAUUAAGUUGUUUCAACUCAGUUUUGUCCAACUUUAAAAAAUAUAUUUUAUAUUACAAUUUUGAAUGAUAAAAAUGUUAAAAAAAUUGUUUAUCCUCAAGGUACACCACUUAUACUCUAUAUUAUUCUUUUUAUAACUAUAAUAUUUGAUUCUUUUAUAUAAUUCUAAAGUCAUAUACUUUCAUUCUUUCAUCAUUUGGGAUAAUCAAAAAUUCAUAUUAUUAUUCAAAGAAUUUUCUCCUUUUCAAUUGAAUACUUGUUGCAGUCACUGAAAAUUUGAAACCUCGAUGUUCAAGAACUUGAGUGACAAUAAAUCAAUGAGGAACCAUGGCUGAUGCUCUACAACUAUUCUAUUCAUCAAGAAUUCCCUAUAUAUGUGCUAGGGCAAUUAAUGUGCUUUGGGUGUGGUGUUUAGUGUUUUAGGGUAGCAGAUGGUUGGUACCCAAUAGUUAUUCCAUAUAUAUUUGGUAAAAUUUAUUAAUCAGCUGUUGUUAUCUUAUUCUAAUUCCACCAGCUACAUUUUCAAGCUGAUAACUGAUUUGAAUUUAUUUUUUAUUUAAAUUAUAUUAUUUUUUUAUUUAAUUUAAAAUUUAAUAUUAUUAAUAUUUUUAUUU
rnacentral:misc_RNA from 1 species